GACGAACGCUGGCGGCGUGCUUAACACAUGCAAGUGGUGCGACGAACCAGGGCUUGCCCUGGGGCCAAGCCGCGAACGGGUGAGUAACACGUGAGUAACCUGCCCCGAUGAUUGGGACAACCCGAGGAAACUCGGGCUAAUACCGAAUGUGGCGCACAAUCGUAAGUUUGUGCGCUAAAGGAAGCUUCGGCCUCCGCAUUGGGAGGGGCUCGCGGCCCAUUAGCUUGUUGGUGGGGUAACGGCCCACCAAGGCAACGAUGGGUAGCUGGUCUGAGAGGACGAUCAGCCACACUGGGACUGAGACACGGCCCAGACUCCUACGGGUGGCAG
rnacentral:rRNA from 1 species